CCUCACUCCUGGAUUGGGGUGGGGGGUGGCUUUAGUCCAGCACUCAGCCCUGAUGUGCACAAAAGGGCACUUCGUAGGCAGAGAAAAGAGAGCUAUUGUGAGGAUAGGGUAAAAUAACCUCUCUCUCCUUAAGGGGCUCCAACUUGGCCCCCAAAGCCUCAGACAACCCCACAGGGCAGAGGCUCCAUCACUCCAUCUCCAGGCAGCCAGCCUUCCAACCAGAGCAGUGGGGACUCCCAGGAAAUAUUCUGUGAAGGCACUCCAGUCCCCAGACAGGAAGGCCCAGCCUGGAGCAAAGAGGUUAAGGGCCCAGAUGCCUGUGUUCAAAUCAUGGCUCUAUCACUUAUGAUCUUGGGCAGGUUACAUAACCUCUCUGUGCCUCCUGUUCUUCAACUGUGAGAACGACACUCAGUAGUUGUCUCUGAUAUUAACAACCACAAGGCUAUCACGGAGCUUAAGAUGACUUCAUACGUGUACAGGACAUAGAACAAUGCUGGAUACGUAUACACAUGUAUGUGCUAUCACUGUUGGGAAAAAUCAAACGAGGACGAAUCAAAGCCAGCCCCAGACUCUGCUUCCUACUCCAAGCCACUUCUGGGCACCUGGCCUCCACUUCCAGAGCCAACUGGCUAAUGCUGUUCAUCUGUUCACGUGUCUGUCUCGAUCGCCGCAGCCUGCAGUCUCCAAAACAGAGCUCAGCACUAGUAGGCACUCGGAAUCCGACUUCCCCCCAGUCCACUGGAGUGCUCCCUGCGGGAAGUACACGAAGGCUCACCUCAGUGGCCAGGAAGCCCUGAGUGGCCCACCCUCUUCUGGCCAUAGUCUCCAAGUCUCCUCAAAUCAAACAGGCUCGUUGUAAACAAAGGCAAAACGUUACAGAACUACGUGAUUUAUGAAGCGAGAGGCUGGUAAUCAACUCCCCAAGGAGUAGAGUUUGGUAAUCCUCCGGUGUCUGCUUCCAGAUUUC